UUAAUAACAUAAAAAAAAUGUUGUAGUUUAAAGCCUUUAUGCUUAUUUUAUGUUUUAACAAUUUUCUUGUUCUAAACAACGCUAUAACUUUGGUUAGUUGAUAGUGAUGCACAGAUUAUAAGUGUUGGUAGCCCUACGCCCUAAAAUGGCGGUAAGUUUGAAACUCGAAACAUAACCACAAAAAAAGAACACAGUUUUGGGAAUCACAUUAUCUGCCGUCUAGAAUUUCAAGGGCUUGAUUUCUGUCGUCUCUUUCCGUUUUACCUCUCAAAUACCAUCAACAAAAAGGUCUUAGGAACGUGACACGUAAAAUAAAGUAAAAGGGCAAUAAUUUCGGUCGACUUCCGUCGUCGAGAUAAUAAUAAAAAACGCGCGCAAAUCUCUUUUAUACUCGGACGACAAUAGGUGUCCGUAUAUCAAGUUAUACAACAAUAAAUAGUUAAACAUUAACACUACCCUUCCUCAAGAACAAUGAUAGUAAAAGAAUUUAGGGCUGCCAUCCCUAACCGGAAAUACGGACGACUGCCUGCGAACCACCGGAUGCGAGCGACCAACGGACAAGAAGAAAACAACAAACGGUGUUCGGUAUAAAACAGAGACAGGUGUGGGUUUGAAGUUGCAAGAAAUUUAUUUUUGAGGAUAAGUUAACACUUUUAUGGGAGAGGGAGCAAGAUUUAAGUGUCGGCAUCUGGAAUAAUUAGUCAAACAAGAUAACUGCUGGAAAUAAUUACGGGCAAUUUAGUUUUCACUGUGGAAAAAAACACGCGUUCAAGUUAUUUCUGGUUAGGGCUUGGAACAUUAAAUGGUCUAGAAGGGACAUGAUCAUAAACUGAAGCAUAUGAAGUUAUUUAUUUUAAGUAUAUCACUAGUCUGCAGUGAAAUCCUCCUUUAAAUAUAAAAAUAGUUGCAAAUUAUUAUCGCAGUCUUUAAAUUUACAGUUAUAGUUUUAAGUAAAAUCAACGACUUAUUUAUUUAAAAAAUCCAUUACAAUAAAAUUAUGCGAU